UCUCUCUCUCUCUCUCUCUCACAAGCCCUCUGCGUGGCGGGGCGCCUGGCCACGUGUUUUUAGUGGGAUGCGGGCUCUCGCGUACAGAACCAAACAGUGACUCUACUGAGUGGGGAAAAUGAGCAUUCAAUCUUCCAAGCAUACCCACUUAUUUUCUGAGUUAUAAAUAACAACAUCAUUUGGAAAGAUAUUGGAUCAGUUUCUUAGCAAUCAAAGAUGGCUGUAAACAAAUCGUUGAUUCUCAGAGUGGAAGGACAAAACAGCGAAGGACCUGACGUGGUGGAGCAGCUGGCGUUCUUGAAAGUAAAUCUCAACUCCUGCAGAAUCCCAGGAUAAACCUGGAAACAGAAUGAAUACCAUCCUUACUUUGUUAUAUGCUGUUGCUAUGUUUUUUCAUGUUUAUAUGUUCUUAUUUGGAUUGCUUUGCAUCUGCUCAGAGCAAGUAAUCCCACUCCAGUCAGCAGUAUCCACAGCACUGACUGAAUGAGGCAUGCAAUCAUGUCUUCAUACAAAUUUCACCAUUAUUAUUAGCAUUCUGAGUUCUUGUACAAAGAUGUAAGUCACAUCACUUAACAUAACAUCAUGAACAGAGUGUUCCCCUGCUCCUUCUUGCAAAGGGUAACAUUUAGAACAGAUGUCUUGUAAUUUUAACCUUUUUUCUAGACCACACAAUUUGAUUUAGAUAUCAUCAAACCAUCUCCCAAUCGUCAAAAUUUAUUAACUGGGGAAAGCGGUCUUGCCCAUGAAAGUUCAUUGCUGGGAGUAUCACAGGUGAGGAGAUUGUGAAUUAAUUCCUUUGCUGGACAGUCUUGGUUAGCAUUUUGAAAAAUAGAUGUUUAGUUUGCUUGGCUGUGGAUGUAAAACCCUCAUACUCAGUAGUGCUUCCUUAUUGGGUUCUGAAUGUUUGGUUGGAUAUGAAGGAAAUUAUGCUUCAAAAGUUCCAAUCUGAAGAAGUUUAAAGUUUGCACCAGGUUGGUUUUGCUUGCCAAUCUUCCUUUAUCUUCAUUUCUCAUGAAAAAGUCCAUAUGUCAGGGUUCCAAGUAACACCCCCAAAUGAAAGAAGGCUUGAAUUUCCCCAAAGUUCCCUUUUAUUGGAGUUGUCACAUUGGCACAUCUGGGAAAACCCGAAUCUGAAAGUUUCCAGGUUUUCUCCACCCAAACCACAGUUCAAGCCCCUGCCCAUCACCCACAUGUCCAUCACAUGAUCCAAUCAAGCACCGUCCCAACUGCAGAUGCCUCCUAGUCACACCAC